rnacentral:rRNA from 1 species
GGCCAAGCAGGUUAGUCUGACGGUGCGACGCCGCGUGGAGGAUGACGGUCUUCGGAUUGUAAACUCCUGUCAUCGAAGAGUAAGGCUCAUGUAUUAAUAGUAUGUGAGAUUGAUAGUAUUCGAAGAGGAAGGGACGGCUAACUUCGUGCCAGCAGCCGCGGUAAUACGAAGGUCCCAAGCGUUGUUCGGAAUCACUGGGCGUAAAGGGAGCGUAGGCGGUGAGGUAAGUCAGAUGUGAAAUUCCAGGGCUCAACCCUGGAACUGCAUCCGAUACUGCCUUACUAGAGUAGUGGAGGGGCAUCUGGAAUUCACGGUGUAGCAGUGAAAUGCGUAGAGAUCGUGAGGAACACUAGUGGCGAAGGCGAGAUGCUGGACACUUACUGACGCUGAGGCUCGAAGGCCAGGGUAGCGAAAGGGAUUAGAUACCCCCUGUAGUCCAGA